rnacentral:lncRNA from 1 species
UAAUUCUAACCUUUUCUUCUUUGGCUCUACCUUUUAGUCCAGUGAUUUACUUUGAAUCAGUCCCCCUUUUCCCCUCCCUUGAUGUUUCCCUUUUUAGUCCCUCCCUUUUUCUUCCCUUCCCCUCCCCCCUCUCUUUCGCUCCCUUUUUGUUUUCCCUCUCCCCCUUCCUCCCUUGGUUUUCCCUUCUCCCUACCCUUGUUGGGUAAGAUAGAAUUCAAGAUCCCAAUGGAUCUGGAUGUUUUUCCCUCUCAGAGUUGAUUUCCCUGAGAUUAAGGUUUAAGUAAAAAACCCUCUCUUCCUCUCCUUCUUAUAGGAGUUUUCUUCCCCUCCCCUUCCCAUGUGAAUCUUUGAGUGAGAAAGAUUAUUCUAUUUGGUCUUUCUUUACCCCCUAUUUAUACAUUACAUUUUCCCCACAUGUUAGUAUACAUAGAUUGAUAUAAAUGUAGUCCUUAUAGAGGAGAGUUUGAGUAAAAGAAGAAGAUAACAUUUUUCUCCUUUCCCCUUUCCUUAAUAUUUACCUUUUCAGGUAUUCUUUGCUCUUUGUUUUUCGGUAUCAAACUUUCCACAGAGCUCUGGUCUUUUCUUUGCAAAAAGUUGGAAAUCUUCUAUUUUGUUGAAUGCCCAUACUUUCCCUUGGAAGUAUAUAGUCAGUUUUGCUGGAUAGCUGAUUCUUGGUUGAAGACCCAGCUCUCUUGCCUUUCUGAAGAUCAUGUUCCAUGCCUUACGAUCAUUCAGAGUAGAAAUUGCAAGGUCUUGUGUGACCCUGAUUGGCAUUCCUUUAUAUCUAAAUUGUCUUUUUCUGGCUUCCUGUAGGAUUUUUUCUUUUGUUUGAGAACUUUGGAAUUUGGCAAUUACUUUUCUGGGAGUUGUCUUUUGGGGGUUUAGUGUAGAAGGUGUUCUGUGAGCUCUGUCAGUGGCCCUUGUUCUAGAAUCUCUGGGCAAUUUUCUUUGAUUAUAUCUUGUAUCACGAUGUCAAGUUUGGUGUUUAUUUCUGGCUUUUCUGGAAGUCCAAUUAUUCUUAAAUUAUCUUGUAUCACAAUGUUGAGUUUGGUGUUUAUUUCUGGCUUUUCUGGAAGUCCAAUUAUUCUUAAAUUAUCUCUUCUCCCUCUAUUUUCCAGAUCUGUCAUCUUAUCGGUGAGAUAUUUUAUGUUCUCUUCUAAUUUCUUGGUAUUUUGGCUUUGCUUUAUUAAUUCUUGCUCUUUUACACGAUCGUUGUCUUCCAGUUGCCUGAUUCUGGCCUUUAAAGCCUGGCUUUCCUUUUCAGUUUGGUCACACCGGUUUUAUAGAUACGUGAAUUUCUUUUGCAUUAUUUCCCACUUUUCCUCCCAGAAGGCUUCCAUCUUUUUGGUCAUUUCUGAUUCAAAUUCUUCAUGGGUUUGUGGAGAGUUUCCAUUUCCUUUGGAAGGUUUCAGAGCAUUUUCUUGUGUAUCGUCUUCUAUCUCCUCUGUAUUUUGUAUUUUGGCUCCAUAGAAUAUGUCCAAAGUCGCCCCUUUCUUUUUAUUUUUCUUGGGAUUUUGGGGCUUCUGUGCUUCUGUGGAGUUUGCCAUCUCUGAAUGGGGAGGAUUAGCUUUUCUUAUCUCUGUCUGGUGUUCAGAGGCUUUAGUCCUGGGCAGAUUGUCCAUUCUAUGAGCUUUCCCUGAGUUGAACUGAGUAUGCCUUAAGGCAGUUACUUUCACUGGAACUGGAAUGGAAGGAUCCAGCCAGGGGGUUACAUUCGCCCCCGGCUCUCUCUGUUUCCCUGCUGUUUGGGUGCCCCCUCCACUGGGUCGGGUUGCUUUCCGGAAGUUGCCUUCAAAAUAGCUGGCCCUGAGGCUGUCUUGCCGCCCAGAG